AGCUUUGCGCAGUGGCAGUAUCGUAGCCAAUGAGGUUUAUCCGAGGCGCGAUUAUUGCUAAUUGAGAAGUAGAUGGAAAAAAUUA
rnacentral:snRNA from 1 species